GACGAACGCUGGCGGCGUGCUUAACACAUGCAAGUCGAACGGAAAGGCCCUGCUUUUGUGUGGUGCUCGAGUGGCGAACGGGUGAGUAACACGUGAGUAACCUGCCCUUGACUUUGGGAUAACUUCAGGAAACUGGGGCUAAUACCGGAUAGGAGCUCCUGCUGCAUGGUGGGGGUUGGAAAGUUUCGGCGGUUGGGGAUGGACUCGCGGCUUAUGAGCUUGUUGGUGGGGUAGUGGCUUACCAAGGGUUUGACGGGUAGCCGGCCUGAGAGGGUAACCGGCCUCAUUGGGACUGCGAUACGGCCCAGACUCCUACGGUAGGCAGCAGGGGAGAAUAUUGCAAAAUAGGCGGAAGCCUGAUGCAGCAACGCCGCGUGCGGAAUGACGGCCUUCGGGUUGUAAACCGCUUUCGCCUGUGACGAAGCGUGAGUGACGGUAAUGGGUAAGGAAGCAACGGCUAACUACGUG
rnacentral:rRNA from 1 species